rnacentral:rRNA from 1 species
AGUGAACGCUGGCGGCGUGCUUAACACAUGCAAGUCGAACGAGAACGGGUUAUAGCUUGCUAUAAUUGUCAGCUAAGUGGCGCACGGGUGAGUAAUGUAUAGGUAAUAUGCCUCUUACUAAGGGAUAACAAAUGGAAACGUUUGCUAAUACCUUAUACUCCUUAUUAACAGAAGUUAAUAAGGGAAAGAUUUAUUGGUAAGAGAUUAGCCUGUAUUGUAUCAGUUAGUUGGUGAGGUAAUGGCUUACCAAGACUAUGACACAUAACUGGUUUGAGAAGAUGAUCAGUCACACUGGAACUGGGACACGGUCCAGACUCCUACGGGAGGCAGCAGUGGGGAAUAUUGCACAAUGGACGAAAGUCUGAUGCAGCAACGCCGCGUGGAGGAUGACACAUUUCGGUGCGUAAACUCCUUUUAUAUGAGAAGAUAAUGACGGUAUUAUAUGAAUAAGCACCGGCUAACUCCGUGCCAGCCGCCGCAGUAAAAC